rnacentral:rRNA from 1 species
AUCGAACGCUGGCGGCAGGCCUAACACAUGCAAGUCGAACGAGAGGCGGACGGGCGAGCAAUGUCUGGGCACCUGCCUGAUGGAGGGGGAUGACUACUGGAAACGGUAGCUACUACCGCUUACCACCGCAUGUGCCCAGAUGGCAUUAGCUAGUCGGUGGGGUAACGCCGCACCAAGGCGACGAUCCCUAGCUGGUCUGAGAGGAUGACCGGCCACACUGGAACUGAGACACGGACCAGACUCCUACGGGAGGCAGCAGUGGGGAAUAUUGCACAAUGGGCGAAAGCCUGAUGCAGCCAUGCCGCGUGUGUGAAGAAGGCCUUCGGGUUGUAAAGUACUUUCGGCAGGGAAGCGGUACCCGCAGAAGAAGCACCGGCUAACUCCGUGCCAGCCGCCGCGGUAAUUC